GCGGGGGUUCCCGAGACCAUGCGGGUCGCCGUAUUGGCGAUCCUGUGGCGUAGGCCUUCAUGGGUUCGAAUCCCAUCCCCCGCACCA
rnacentral:tRNA from 2 species